GAUGAACGCUGGCGGCGUGCCUAAUACAUGCAAGUCGAGCGAACGGACGAGAAGCUUGCUUCUCUGAUGUUAGCGGCGGACGGGUGAGUAACACGUGGAUAACCUACCUAUAAGACUGGGAUAACUUCGGGAAACCGGAGCUAAUACCGGAUAAUAUUUUGAACCGCAUGGUUCAAAAGUGAAAGACGGUCUUGCUGUCACUUAUAGAUGGAUCCGCGCUGCAUUAGCUAGUUGGUAAGGUAACGGCUUACCAAGGCAACGAUGCAUAGCCGACCUGAGAGGGUGAUCGGCCACACUGGAACUGAGACACGGUCCAGACUCCUACGGGAGGCAGCAGUAGGGAAUCUUCCGCAAUGGGCGAAAGCCUGACGGAGCAACGCCGCGUGAGUGAUGAAGGUCUUCGGAUCGUAAAACUCUGUUAUUAGGGAAGAACAUAUGUGUAAGUAACUGUGCGCAUCUUGACGGUACCUAAUCAGAAAGCCACGGCUAACUACGUGCCAGCAGCCGCGGUAAUACGUAGGUGGCAAGCGUUAUCCGGAAUUAUUGGGCGUAAAGCGCGCGUAGGCGGUUUUUUAAGUCUGAUGUGAAAGCCCACGGCUCAACCGUGGAGGGUCAUUGGAAACUGGAAAACUUGAGUGCAGAAGAGGAAAGUGGAAUUCCAUGUGUAGCGGUGAAAUGCGCAGAGAUAUGGAGGAACACCAGUGGCGAAGGCGACUUUCUGGUCUGUAACUGACGCUGAUGUGCGAAAGCGUGGGGAUCAAACAGGAUUAGAUACCCUGGUAGUCCACGCCGUAAACGAUGAGUGCUAAGUGUUAGGGGGUUUCCGCCCCUUAGUGCUGCAGCUAACGCAUUAAGCACUCCGCCUGGGGAGUACGACCGCAAGGUUGAAACUCAAAGGAAUUGACGGGGACCCGCACAAGCGGUGGAGCAUGUGGUUUAAUUCGAAGCAACGCGAAGAACCUUACCAAAUCUUGACAUCCUUUGACAACUCUAGAGAUAGAGCUUUCCCCUUCGGGGGACAAAGUGACAGGUGGUGCAUGGUUGUCGUCAGCUCGUGUCGUGAGAUGUUGGGUUAAGUCCCGCAACGAGCGCAACCCUUAAGCUUAGUUGCCAUCAUUAAGUUGGGCACUCUAAGUUGACUGCCGGUGACAAACCGGAGGAAGGUGGGGAUGACGUCAAAUCAUCAUGCCCCUUAUGAUUUGGGCUACACACGUGCUACAAUGGACAAUACAAAGGGCAGCGAAACCGCGAGGUCAAGCAAAUCCCAUAAAGUUGUUCUCAGUUCGGAUUGUAGUCUGCAACUCGACUACAUGAAGCUGGAAUCGCUAGUAAUCGUAGAUCAGCAUGCUACGGUGAAUACGUUCCCGGGUCU
rnacentral:rRNA from 1 species